AGCAGCAUGGCCUAGUUGAAAAAGCAUGGGUUUGGGAGUCAGAGGACCUGGGUUCUAAUCCCAGUUCUGCCA
rnacentral:tRNA from 1 species